UAGUGUCUACUGCUGGCACAGUGCAAGCACAGUUCUUGGGUUCUUUGUACUAAAACAGGAGAAUAAAGACUAAAGAAAAAGGCUUGCAAAGCCAUGCCACCAUGUGAUGCUUCCUAUGAAUCACGUGCUAAGACAAGCUCUUUUUCUUAGCAAUAGUAAGCUUUAUUUUUUUAAUUAAGACUUUUCUUUAGUUCACAUUUUUUUGCUCAUCUGAAGGGAGAUAUAGAUUAAUCAUACAUCAUGUCCACUUUUAAGUCAAAGCUUGAAAGCAAAGCUGCAGUCCCAACUAGCUUUAAGCUUGGUAGCUCAGGUACCAGCAGCAGUAUAGCCAUAGCUGCACAGAGCUCAGCAUGGGCUAGCCACAUACAUUUUUAUGCAGGUUCCCUGGUGAGUUUUGCAGCCUGCACUUAAUCUGGGUGUUACUGUUAGCACCUGAGCUAUGUUGUUUAAAGCACUGUUGGGUGUGCCUCCACAAACUACAGCCACACCUUUCAUUACAAUACACUUCCCCUUAGGAUUACUGUUCAUCAGCUGGCUUGAGCCUGCUGCCAAACAGCAGCACAGCUAGUGCACCACAUGCUACCUGUAAGAAAGAAUGUUGUGCGUCUUUCACCAUUGGAAAAAGGUUUGAGUCAACUGUAUUGGAGCAAAUCUUGGUACACCCUCCAGUACAUUAGAUGUUGGACUGCUUUUGAUGUGCUAAAUGACAUUUUUGUCAUUUGCAGCAGGUAUCACCAAACUAAAUUCCUUGAGCCAGAACCACCUACUAAGAGGUUGGAUCCAGCCUGCAGAGGUCUGAUCAAACCUGGGGGAGCACAGAGGAUUGGUUGGUGCACAGUGGCUGGUCACCUCUACAGAGUCCUCCUUCACGGUCCUCCCUGCUGCUCUGUGUAUCUGCACUAACCCUCUCUGCAGAGGGCCAGCGUGAAGAAUUGGCAAAUAAGUGACUAAAUGCAGAAAAAAGGAAACCCAAGAGGAAAUCUGCUCAGUGACACCCCUUGAGAAUCUUUCAACAGCCUGCAACAUCAGGCAACCUUUUUCCAAGCAUUAUCAUUUUGUCGCCUAAAACCUGAUAUUAGCAGUGAAGUAGAUGGCUCAACUUCCCCCUGGAAUUCAUUUUAUCACUUUAUUUACAAGAGAUCAGCGGUACCGGGCCUUCAUUUUUGUUCUGACCUUUUUGUUGUAUGCCUCCUUCCAUUUAUCAAGGAAACCUAUUAGUAUAGUUAAGGGAGAACUACAUAAGCACUGUGCUGCUUCAACUGAAGUUGAACUCCACUCCUACAAAGAAUAUGCUACCCAGAGUCAGCCUGUUAAAAAGUUACCUAAUGAGUCUCAAUGUGGUUGGGAGCCAUUUGAUAAGAACAACUACAAGCAACUACUGGGAGCACUGGAUUAUUCAUUUCUAUGUGCUUAUGCAAUUGGAAUGUAUUUAAGUGGCAUUAUAGGCGAACGACUGCCCAUCCGGUACUACUUGACAGCUGGAAUGCUUGCCAGUGGACUCUUCACUGCAAUGUUUGGCUUUGGCUAUUUCUAUAAUGUACAUAAUCUAUGGUUCUACUUGGUGGCUCAGAUUGCUAAUGGAUUGGUGCAGACUACUGGCUGGCCUAGUGUAGUUACCUGUAUUGGCAACUGGUUUGGAAAAGGAAGGAGAGGUUUCAUCAUGGGAAUCUGGAAUUCUCACACUUCAGUGGGAAACAUCUUGGGAUCACUAAUUGCUGCUUAUUGGGUAUCUUCCUGCUGGGGUCUGUCUUUUGUGGUUCCUGGUGUUAUAAUCGCUUUGAUGGGGAUCAUUUGUUUUCUGUUUCUUAUCGAACAUCCUAAAGACAUCAAUUGCUCUUGCACACCGCCCAGUAGCUCAAGGACUUACAUGAAUGGUACAAAUAGAUUCAGAGUCCAGAAACCAAACUUAAAUACUAGGGAAACUAGCCAAUCUCAGGCUCCAGAGAUGCAGCAGUUACUUUCUGACAAUGAAAACUGUGCAAUGUCACUGAACAUUAACAUGCCAGUCAGUGAAGAAAAUAGAAAUGGAACAUCACCUAUAAGCUUCCUUGGUGCCUUGCGAAUACCUGGAGUGAUAGAAUUUUCCUUGUGUUUGUUAUUUGCUAAAUUGGUCAGUUACACUUUCCUUUUCUGGCUUCCCCUCUAUAUCACAAAUGUAGAGCACCUUGAUGCCAAAAGAGCUGGAGAUCUUUCCACACUGUUUGAUGUGGGGGGAAUCUUUGGUGGAAUUUUGGCAGGCAUAAUUUCAGAUAGAUUGGAAAAAAGGGCUUCGACCUGUGGCAUGAUGUUAUUCCUAGCCGCACCCGCGUUGUACAUGUUCUCUGCAGUCAGUAAAAUGGGCCUCGAGGCCACCAUAGUCAUGCUACUCAUCAGCGGAGCCCUAGUGAAUGGCCCCUAUGCACUGAUCACAACUGCAGUCUCGGCUGACUUGGGCACCCACAAAAGUCUGAAAGGGAAUGCAAGGGCCCUGUCCACAGUGACAGCUAUCAUCGAUGGAACUGGUUCUGUAGGUGCUGCUCUAGGACCUCUGUUAGCUGGUCUCAUUUCUCCUUCUGGCUGGAACAAUGUAUUUUAUAUGCUUAUGGUGGCAGAUGCAUGUGCCUUACUGUUCUUAGUCCGUCUUAUACAGAAGGAGCUCGGAUGUAGAAUGGAUCAUACCUUAUUUUAUAAAACUAGCAGAGAACAUUAGACUCCUAGACAGCUUUCUUCAAAAGAUGGACCCAUCUCAGUUUUUUACCCUUGAGUGUAGGUUUAAAGAACACUGAGUAAUGAUAUCUUGGACUUGGAAUAAGGUCUGUGCGAGUGAUCAGAACUCUUCCCUCAAAGACUUUUCAGAAUAACUUAUUCAAUAUUUAAAAGAUUGUUUUCAUGAAGGAUUUUGUACUCUUGUCAGAAGACGAUUUAGAAAUUCAACUAGUGAAUUUCUGGUGAAGUUCUUUCUUAUUUUUUGCACAUGCAUCAAUACCUCAGCAUGUUGACUGUUUUAUGAACUGGAAAGAGACAAGCUUUGAGAAGCUGCUACAAGUAUGCCUUAACUGAGCCAGAAAGAAAUACCAAGUGCCUUUGGAUUCAUUUGGAUAGAAUAUUUCAAUUAAACAUUUAAACUGCAUUUUUGAUCAGAAAGCAAGGAGAUUUGAGAACAGAGCAUGAAGAAAAUAAGCUCUUCAGCUACUCCAGCAAUGGACUCUGCCAGUAUUGUUAACAAAACAUUAGUGAUCAAAGUUUCCUUUAUGUCAUUUCUUAAAAGGCAAGAUCCUAAUACUAUAUGUGAAUUUUCCAGCUGGUUACAAUUCACUGCUAUUCAGUAUUCUGAAAUUGUUCAACAGAAUAAUACCAGAGCCAGACCAUAUUACGAUGGUUUAACUGCAUCACUAACUUAAUCCUGUAAAGGAGAAUCCCAAAGGCAACAUUCAGCCAUUUUGUGUGUAACAUAAUGGAACUUACACCUAAUUACUAAGUUGGGUGCCUCUGCUGACCUCUGGCUAGAUAUUAUUGCUUGAUUGGGAUUGUCUGAGAAGGAGGCUCAACUAGCAAAGAAGCUUAUUAGAGCUCAGCAUUUCCUACAAGGGUCUCUAGUGCUAUUAUAAACUGGGUGGACAAACUACAUGUUUGCUGUUUUAUUGCUUGUCUAGGCCACCCUGGGGUAGCAGAGGAUAAUAUCUUGUCUCACUUGUGAUGGAAGCUUUAGCAUUAAUUUUAGAGGGUUGAACAGAAAUAGGCUGACUUUGACCCUGACCUCACAACAAUUUUAAUGCAGGCACCUACCUCACAGAUACUAGUGGGGUGCAUGCAGACAUAAGGAUCUUCCUGAAGACAGCUUAGUACAGGAUCAGGCCUUUAAUCAGAGUACUAAAAACUUGCUCACAGAGAGGCCGGUGGUCCAUGUUCAUUGCAUGCAUGCACGUGUGUGUGUGGUAAAAGUAAUCUGGGAUAUGGGAUCAAAGGAAGUGUCAUGGCACAUGUUAUCCUGAAAGUGCAGUUGUUUGUGUUUUCAUAACAUAACGUUUUUUGUUCAUCUGACAGUUUCUCUCCUUCUGAGAGAGAACAUGUUUCUAGGGAACGUACUAAGAUGUAACAAAAUACAUAUAGAGUUAAAUAAUAAAUAUUUAACAAAAUACAUAUACAAAUAGAGUUUCUGUAAAGGAGGCGUUGAUACAGAUUGAGUGCAAAGAUUAAAUAGACACAUUCUAUAUUUGUUAAAAGAUGUAUUUAUUAAAACUUUUAAGCAACCAUAAUGUUCUGAAUGUUCUGACUUUUGCUUUAAGCUUUACAAAACAAGACAGUACUGUAUAUACUUGACUUGGUGGACAAAAUACCACUUCUUAAAAUAACCCUACAAAAAUGUACUGGUACAUUUAUUUUUUUGUUUUAUUUUUUUUUGUCCACCAACUGCAGGUUCUGUGUUUUGUUUUAGCUCAAUAUUUAUGCUUUGAGGGCUGUUCUGAAUUGUUCAAAUUUUAACCUCAUUUUUGAACACAGAACAGUUGUGUGGGUUUCUGUAUUUUGGCCUUGAUUCAGCAAAGUACAUAAGCAGGUGCUUAAAUCCGACUGACUGAACUGAAACUUGGCACAUAUUUAAAGUUAAGCAUGUGCUUAACUAUUUUGCUGAAUCAAAGUGUUUGCUUGCAAAAAGGAACCUCCAAAGGCUUCAGUCAAACAAAGUUUUCUAGCAUUCAUCAUCCAAAGUCUUUGUGUGAUGAAUGCUAGACACCACCACCAGGCCUGCAAAGAUUUACAGAAAUGCUUAACGUAACACACACACCAUACCUAGUAGUACCACUGAUUCUUGUAAGGGGUCUCUCAGUGCAUAAAAAGAAGCAUUUGGCUUAGUCUUUGUAGGAUUGGGGUCCUGGCUAUCACAACCAUUUAUACUGUUAGACGCCGCAUCUCCAAAGUUGUUUGUUAAAGCUGUAUUGCUAAGGCUAAUGUCUUAAGGUGUUUCUAGUUGUAUUUAUUAAUAGAAAUAUACUGUUGUAACAAUGUUUAAUGAACUCCAAAUUUGGGGUGUUUUUCUUCUUGGGAGCUGAUUUUAUUUAUUUUUUUAAAACCCUUUGCAGUAUAAAGACCUAGAUUUGAACUAACGAACAUUGAUUGCUCUGAGGAAUUGGGUUUCUGGUACCUAACACUCUGUCCUUUUCCAUUCAGGAGUUUAGUGUUCUAGAAGGAUGGCAUAUAUUUUAAAAAAUGAUGUGCAAUUUUCUUGAGGGGGGGAACGUUAAGAAUUUCUUACAACUUUUAUUUGGGGUUGAAUUAGGGAAUCCACAUCUGUAAAUCAGGAAGGACAGACUAAAAUGAUAGCUGGCAUGUGUAACAGUCAAAAUAUUGUGCAGAAUAAUAAAAUGGCUGAAACAUGACUGAUGUUUGUUUCUUAAAGUGCUAGGAAACAUGAUCAUUUCAAUUUCAGGCUACAAAAAAUGCCUUGGCCACUGGAAUUCAAUGCUGCUCAAUCUAUAAGGGCCGUGUCUGCAAUGAGAGUUCUGCCUACCUAAGAACAGCAGUAUCAGGCUCUUACUUUUCAGAGGACCUUUAGUCUGGCUUUAAAAUCUGUGUCCAUACUUUGCAAUUACAGUCACUUUGCACUGCAGAAAAUUGAACCAGUGGAUCUAACUUCCAUAUCCAACUUGUCUGCAAGGCAGCUCACUAGACACCAAUGUUCUCUUAUUUUGCUGUUGCGAAUAUGCAGUACAAGAGUGAAACUGCUUCUCUCCUAUAACCAGCCCUAAAAAUCCCUGAGUGCUAAUCAAACAGUGUGUUUUGGUACCAUCAGGUGUCAAUGUGCCUUCACCUGACGAAGCAAAUCAGCUGGCAAAUGCACAUUGGAAUGCAAAACUGCAAUGGGCAAAAUAGGGUUCAUAUCUUAGUGUGAAAUGUUUCAUUUUGUUAAUGCUGAUUAUUUGGAGUUUAAAAUAUUUUUUACAUUGUGUUGAAUAAAAGCUGAAUUCUUUAUUAAAGGGGGAAAUGUUGA